rnacentral:rRNA from 1 species
CGGAUCGCAGGCUGCAACCCGCCCUGCGUGAAGUUGGAAUCGCUAGUAAUCGCGGAUCAGCAUGCCGCGGUGAAUACGUUCCCGGGCCUUGUACACACCGCCCGUCACACCAUGAGAGUCGGGAACACCCGAAGUCCGUAGCCUAACUUUAACGAGGGGGCGCGGCCGAAGGUGGGUUCGAUAAUUGGGGUGAAGUCGUAACAAGGUAAC